AGGAGAAUGGACCCAGGAAACACGCACUUGUAUAUCAGCGUAAGCGUUGCCCUCAGACAAAACCCCGGGGAGGGGAAGAUGGCUAUGAAUAUGUGCAAUAAAAAACGGGUGAGACCGGGAGCGCAGAAGCUGGGGACAAUGGAAAAAUGAGAAAAGGCUAAACAAAGGGCAGCAAGUUCUGCCCGUUGAGGGCUUGUUUGAGGAGUGGUAAACCACGAGUGCCAUUGCGUGGCAGUACACCAAGAAACAACACCACGGGUUGGGCAGCCAUCAGUGAAUACUGUAAGCGCAUCAAUUAUGGGGGUUUGCUGGCAAAAAUUACAAAAUACAGUGGGAAUGUGACAAAUGGCAUGCAGGC